AUAAAGAAGUGGUAUAUACCGUGAUCACAAAGGUGGUUUUCCCAGGGUGAGGCUCAUCCAUUGCACUGCGGGUGUGCUGACCCCUGUGAUUUCCCCAAAGGUGGGAAACUCAACUGCAUAGUUUGUGGUAGUGGGGGACUGACUGUGUUCACGCUCUCCCCUG
ensembl:snRNA U1 U1 spliceosomal RNA